ACGCUGGCGGCACGCCUAACACAUGCAAGUCGAACGAAGUAGCAAUACUUAGUGGCAGACGGGUGAGUAACAUGUAGGUAUCUGCCCUUUGGCCUGGAAUAACACGAGGAAACUUGUGCUAAUACUGGAUAAGUCUUUACGGAGAAAGCUUUAUGCACCAUUGGAUGAGCCUGCACUUGAUUAGUUUGUUGGUGGGGUAAUGGCCUACCAAGACUGUGAUCAAUAGCUGAUUUGAGAGGAUGAUCAGCCACAUUGGGACUGAGACACGGCCCAAACUCCUACGGGAGGCAGCAGUGGGGAAUCUUGCACAAUGGAGGAAACUCUGAUGCAGCGAUGCCGCGUGAGUGAAGAAGGCCUUUGGGUUGUAAAGCUCUUUCGUCGGGGAAGAAAAUGACUGUACCCGAAUAAGAAGGUCCGGCUAACUUCGUGCCAGCAGCCGCGGUAAUACGAAGGGACCUAGCGUAGUUCGGAAUUACUGGGCUUAAAGAGUUCGUAGGUGGUUGAAAAAGUUGGUGGUGAAAUCCCAGAGCUUAACUCUGGAACUGCCAUCAAAACUUUUCAGCUAGAGUAUGAUAGAGGAAAGCAGAAUUUCUAGUGUAGAGGUGAAAUUCGUAGAUAUUAGAAAGAAUACCAAUUGCGAAAGCAGCUUUCUGGAUCAUUACUGACACUGAGGAACGAAAGCAUGGGUAGCGAAGAGGAUUAGAUACCCUCGUAGUCCAUGCCGUAAACGAUGUGUGUUAGACGUUGGAAAUUUAUUUUCAGUGUCGCAGCGAAAGCGAUAAACACACCGCCUGGGGAGUACGACCGCAAGGUUAAAACUCAAAUGAAUUGACGGGGACCCGCACAAGUAGUGGAGCAUGUGGUUUAAUUCGAAGAUACGCGCAGAACCUUACCAACACUUGACAUGUUCGUCGCGACUUUAAGAGAUUAAAGUUUUCGGUUCGGCCGGACGAAACACAGGUGCUGCAUGGCUGUCGUCAGCUCGUGUCGUGAGAUGUUGGGUUAAGUCCCGCAACGAGCGCAACCCUCACUUUUAGUUGCCAUCAUUAAGUUGGGCACUCUGAAAGAACUGCCAGUGAUAAGCUGGAGGAAGGUGGGGAUGACGUCAAGUCCUCAUGGCCCUUACGUGUUGGGCUACACACGUGCUACAAUGGUAUCUACAACAGGAAGCAAAACUGCGAAGCUAAGCAAAUCCUUAAAAGAUACCUCAGUUCGGAUUGCACUCUGCAACUCGAGUGCAUGAAGCUGGAAUUACUAGUAAUCGUGGAUCAGCGUGCCACGGUGAAUGCGUUCCCGGGUCUUGUACACACCGCCCGUCACACCAUGGGAGUUGGUUCUACCUUAAGGCAAGGUUUCAAACCCUUGACCACGGUAUAGUCAGCGACUGGGGUGA
rnacentral:rRNA from 1 species